UCUAAAACGAGAAACAGAUGAAGAGAAGAACGUUACAUUGAUUUCAACUAUAUUGAGAUGAGUUAAACAGUCGGACAACUAUUGCUUUGGUUUGAUGUUUGUCAACCAACAUAACCACAAAACUGAAGUUGAACUUAAAAUAUAACAAAAGCGUCAAACCACAGUUUGGGUAAAUGUGGCAGAAAAAACAUUCAGACUCCCUGAUUUAUCAUUACAAGUUCAUCUUGAUGUAAAAACAGAACUUUUUUAUGGUGGUUUUCCUUGGGGGACAUCAAUGUUAACUGAAGUCUGCCGUAACCUCCGGGUAAGGAGAUGUCAUUUUCUGAUGGCUGAUGAUCGUAGCUUUUUUGUGAACAUCUUUUGAAUUAUUAAUAAGUUAGAUAGUAAUGAGCAUGCAUAACAGGAAAGAUUACAGAUAAAAGGAAUUCUUAAGUUGGAUGAAGAUAUGCAAAAGUAAGCUUAAGCUAGAGACUUAAAGAUUGAAUCAAACUGUUGAUCAAAUGAUUGGGGGAUAUGAAUAUGAUAGAAAUAUUUGAACUGGACACUGAAGAUAUAUAUGAAUAAAUAUUAUGAACAGGAGAUAUUUAGAACUAACAUUCAAGAAAAUGCUAUGCUGUCAUAUGGAGGUCAAAGAUUAAGGAAAUCUAAGAAUGAUCCAAACUAAUACAAUAACCAGAGUCAUACAGACAGCCACAAUUAGCAGAUGUUAUAACAACAAAUAUUUCCUAUAGUGUGGAGACAGUUAUAUCAUUAAACCAGAAAGUGCUAUAAUACAGCCCUGUUAUACCUGCUCAACUAAAGUGAGUUUACUC